UACACAUCGACGGCCUUGACAGAGCACAUUUUCCUAGGUCCCAAUUCCUCCUCUAUCAAUGGAAGGGAACAUCUCUGCAUUACCCUUUUCUACUUAAGUACUUGGGCAGAAAAAAAGAGUAUGCCAGGAGUUUGUGAAAGAGCCAGUAGCUGAGAAGAAUGCAAAUUGGGCCCCAGCCAUGGCUGACUUUCUGAUACACAAGAGGUCAGGGAACAUCUGGACAAGGCACAAAAGGAAUCUGUCACAUGGAUUGGUUGCCUGCCUCAGCUGUGUCCAAGUAAAGAAGAUGUUCUGCACAUCCAGUGGAAGAAUCAG